AUUCCAGCUCCAAUAGCGUAUAUUAAAGUUGUUGCAGUUAAAAAGCUCGUAGUUGGAUGUUGGGUUCUAGUUAUGUUCGGUCUCUUCUAGAGUACUGUCAUGCUGGCCCUUUUUCUCGAGGCCUAUAGGUGCACUUAACCGUGUGUUUAUAGUGUUCGGGACUUUUACCGUGAGAAAAUUAGAGUGUUCAUAGCAGGCUAGCGCUUGAAUAUUACAGCAUGGAAUAAUGGAAUAGGAUCAUGAUCUUAUUUUGUUGGUUUCUAAGAUUAAGAUAAUGAUUAAUAGGGAUAGUUGGGGGCAUUAAUAUUUAGUUGUCAGAGGUGAAAUUCUUAGAUUUACAAAAGAUUAACUUCUGCGAAAGCAUUUGCCAAGGAUGUUUUCAUCA
rnacentral:rRNA from 1 species